rnacentral:rRNA from 1 species
CCUACGGGAGGCAGCAGUGGGGAAUCUUGCGCAAUGGGCGAAAGCCUGACGCAGCAACGCCGCGUGCGGGAAGAAGGCUUUCGGGCUGUAAACCGCUUUCAGCAGGAACGAAAAUGACGGUACCUGCAGAAGAAGGAGCGGCCAACUAUGUGCCAGCAGCCGCGGUGAUACAUAGGCUUCAAGCGUUGUCCGGAUUUAUUGGGCGUAAAGAGUUCGUAGGCGGUCGAGUAAGUCGGGUGUGAAAAUUCUGGGCUCAACCCGGAGACGCCACCCGAUACUGCUUGACUUGAGUUCGAUAGGGGAGUGGGGAAUUCCUAGUGUAGCGGUGAAAUGCGCAGAUAUUAGGAGGAACACCGGUGGCGAAGGCGCCACUCUGGAUCGAUACUGACGCUGAGGAACGAAAGCAUGGGUAGCAAACAGGAUUAGAUACCCUGGUAGUCCAUGCCGUAAACGGUGGGCACUAGGUGUGGGUUUCUAUUAACGAAAUCCGCGCCGUCGCUAACGCAUUAAGUGCCCCGCCUGGGGAGUACGGUCGCAAGACUAAAAACUCAAAAGGAAUUGACGG